AGCAGGCAGGCAAAGGGUUAUAAAACUGUACUGGGAAGGACCAGCUGAGCAACGUACGAUGGGACAUUUUCCCAGGAUUAUGGUUCUGCAUGGGGACUCCUGGCACCACAUUACUGUCCCAUCCUCAGUAAAUGGGUCCUUACAUCCCAAGACUCCCGUAAGUGUCUCAGCAAAGGUGAGAAAGGAACUGGGUGGCUAUGCCCCAAAUAGAGGGCCCGCAAAAGGUUCUUGAAAAGAUGAGAGAAGAACUGAAGGGCUGACAGUCCAGACUGCAGGAUUAGGAAACAGCCUAUAG
rnacentral:lncRNA from 1 species